rnacentral:rRNA from 1 species
UACGUAGGCAGCAAGCGUUGUUCGGAAUUACUGGGCGUAAAGAGUGUGUAGGCGGUGCUCUAAGUCUGUCGUGAAAUCUCCCGGCUUAACUGGGAGGGUGCGGCGGAUACUAUUGUGCUAGAGGGUGGGAGAGGUAAGCGGAAUUCCUGGUGUAGCGGUGAAAUGCGUAGAUAUCAGGAGGAACACCGGUGGCGAAGGCGGCUCUCUGGGACGGUACUGACGCUGAGACGCGAAAGCGUGGGGAGCGAACAGG